UUCUUUGCUGACGAGUGGCGGACGGGUGAGUAAUGUCUGGGAAACUGCCUGAUGGAGGGGGAUAACUACUGGAAACGGUAGCUAAUACCGCAUAACGUCGCAAGACCAAAGAGGGGGACCUUCGGGCCUCUUGCCAUCGGAUGUGCCCAGAUGGGAUUAGCUAGUAGGUGGGGUAACGGCUCACCUAGGCGACGAUCCCUAGCUGGUCUGAGAGGAUGACCAGCCACACUGGAACUGAGACACGGUCCAGACUCCUACGGGAGGCAGCAGUGGGGAAUAUUGCACAAUGGGCGCAAGCCUGAUGCAGCCAUGCCGCGUGUAUGAAGAAGGCCUUCGGGUUGUAAAGUACUUUCAGCGGGGAGGAAGGGAGUAAAGUUAAUACCUUUGCUCAUUGACGUUACCCGCAGAAGAGGCACCGGCUAACUCCGUGCCAGCAGCCGCGGUAAUACGGAGGGUGCAAGCGUUAAUCGGAAUUACUGGGCGUAAAGCGCACGCAGGCGGUUUGUUAAGUCAGAUGUGAAAUCCCCGGGCUCAACCUGGGAACUGCAUCUGAUACUGGCAAGCUUGAGUCUCGUAGAGGGGGGUAGAAUUCCAGGUGUAGCGGUGAAAUGCGUAGAGAUCUGGAGGAAUACCGGUGGCGAAGGCGGCCCCCUGGACGAAGACUG
rnacentral:rRNA from 1 species